GGAGACGUAUCACAUUUCACCCCAUACUCAUCCCAGUGCGCGGUUAUAAAUACGCCUCCCUCGCCGGUGGUACGUUCAUUUGGGCAGCCGAGCACAGCCGGGAACAACUACCUCGCUCACACGCCAACCAUUUUCAAAUAUUUAAAAUAAAUGACGGUUUGUAACGGUCGCUGUGGUAAGCCUCGUCCCCAGUAUGGCAUCGUUCGAAACACCACGCGGAUGUCACAGGGAAAAACAGCACAACGCUGCCGGAUUCCGAUAGAGAGAGAGAGCUUCCUGAGUCUAAGACGACAGAAAGGGUGAGGAUUGUGUCCAAACAUGGCGGCACAGCUGUCCGCACGAGCUCCGCGGAGCAGGGACGAGGGCACCCCGUCAGGAAGCAGCUGCACGUCUGCCUGACCCAGGCACCUGUUCGGCUGAAGACUGAGCCAGCUGCUCGCUAGGACCUCCCACUUCACACCCAGGUCCCAGGAGACAACGUGGCUUCUCCAUCGCGGACCAUGAGACAAUGACUUGAUAGAGGAAUAUGGAGUGAUCCAUGCGGGCCUGACUUUGCGAGAGGACAAGGGAAAGAAAAUGGCGUCUGAGCUUGAGGGCCUACCAUCAUCAUCAUCAUGAAGUUACCCGGAUGUAGAAUGGAAGCGAGGCCGACGGUACGCUCUUCGUUUUCUGAUGUUGAUAGAAGUUCCUAGGUUUAUGAUACACGUAUGGCAUAUUCAAUUCGCUUUCAAAAACUAUUGCAAUAGGGUAUAUGUUGAUAUCAAAAACACGGAAGAAAUUCUCGAUUGUACGGUAAUUCAUUAAUAAUGCUUUGGCCAAUAAUUGUGGCAGAAAAGAUAUCGAAUCUGCAGACAAUCAAUAAUCUGCUAGGUGUACGCAGAUUACACAAAGUCACAAUCAGAAAGUUUACAGGGUAGAAUUUAAUGAAAAGUCAUCAAUUUGUCACGUUUGAAUGUUUUUGCCAAGGAUACGCAAUUAGUUUUGAUUGAUCACAAAGUUUUACAGUCACUAAUCACUUUUGUGGUAAUGAAGUGUAAUCGAUUAUUUCGACCGAAAAUUCCCUCUUGAUGACCAAAAUAGCCACCAGACAAAUUAAUUACGUUAGAGACUAAACACAAUUUGCUCCAAGAAAUUCCUCUCAAGGUCUUUAGCAUCUCACAAUACGUAUACUCUUUCGCAGCGCUGUACAAAAUACAGUCUUUAAGCAUACCUUAAACCAUGCAUAAAGGUCCCUUUUCUUCAUGCAAUUGAGGAAGCAGAACAUUUCCGUUGAAUUUCGAAAUCCAUAAAAUGGAAGCGUAUUCCUAUCUACACGUAAAUUACGUUCCCUCGCGGAUCCAAAUCUCUGUAAUAAAACGGAAGAACUCUCACCGGGGUUCCGAGUUGAUUUUAAUUUCCUAACUUCUGAGAGAGAGACAACUACUGAGAGUAGUCUGUUUGGUAAAUCCUCGCCAAGGGCGCUACGCGUUGCUCCUCCAUCAAGGGAUUGGACAAGUGUCACCUUCCCAUUUACAAGCAACAUAUUAUAGGGUGCGAAACCGUCGAAAUGGCGUUCUUACCGCCUUCCACGUCACUUGCACCUGAAGGGGGGGAUUAGUUGGUAAUGCUAUAGAACUCCGUGGAUUGGAUCCCAGGGCGAGGGGAGCUAUUAGAGGCGGCGAUACUGGCGCUGCGCCCCGCUACCGGGUUUUAGAGCGCCGUUUCGGGAUACUUCCCGCCAAGUCUUCAUUGAUUUCGGCAAACGAUAACUACCGGUGGCCAGCGGGUAGCUUAUCCAGCCCGCUAUACGUCGUCCUUCAUCGCAGAAUCAGAAAAUUCUUUCCCUAGUCUCCUAAUGUAUUUCCUGCUCAACACAUGCAUCUUGUAUUAUGCGAGGGGGUUUAAAGGACUUUGUGCCAUUCGUUCUACGAUAAAGCCGAUGGCGCGGCAUUGGAAGUGAGUGCUUUGUGAUUGAUGUUUCUGUUUUUGUGAGCACGGAAGCGUGAAUAACUAUUGUAUAUGAAAGUAUCGGGUAAGUACAAGCAGAGCCAAAUUGAAUGGAAUACAUGAAUGCAUUAAUACUGUGGCGGAGGAAGGUUUAUGACGUAUACACGCCUCGCCAUCUGUUGAAUCUGAUUGGAUAGAAUUAAUCAAAUUAGCGGAGUCUGCCCUUGCUUGUAUCAUGUGGUAUGAUCUAUCGCUUGUGGUGACAUCUGUUUUGGAAUGGAAUUCGUCCUAACCGAUUACGCAGUGUUUUCAGGCAAGGACGGGGGUCUAAAAUUAGGAGACGAGCUCGCCAUGUGUCUAGAGGAGUCAGAUAUUACUAAAUAUAGUUAACGGAUCGUUAGUGGCGAAUGUGACAGGUGCAGAGUAAGAUCUCGAGAUUAAACCAAUCAAAUCUCUCCGGUCCCAGGGUCCCAGAGGCGGGACAACUGUCCCGGGGCAGAAACACAAAGGGCGACCUCACAAAUUAGUAAGGAAAGGCCCGUAUGGCAUAGCACAUCAAUUUCUGUCAGUCACCGGACCGCAAAAAGGUUCACAAUAACGCAGACGUUGUGCAUUUUUCAGGAAAGGAUUCGGCUUUUAUGGAUAUCUAGAUCUUGACAGUGGGAUUUGAGUGGCACUCAUGUUUGUGCGGCAGAAGUCACAAAAGUCGCAAGGUGGCAGUUUUAACCGGUCGUUUUGUCCGAAGUUGCCGUUUGCCCUAGCAUCGCGCAGACUGGUUACAGAAUGUGUCCUUGUUCUGACAAGUACCUCAGCAUUACAGUGACCUCAAUACAUGAAAAAGCAAGUACAUCAAUGAUAUACUAAAGAGAUACUAGAAACACUUAUUUAACAAGACAGUGACAGAACGGACAGUCCGUAUGAUACCAGACGUCCUGGGGUGAAGGCGUGCCCGUGGUUAAUCUAACCGCGUGAUCCGCGACGGACACAGACAGAGGGGACACUCGGUCACACUGCUGUUAGCACCCCGUCCAUGGGGCCGUGCCAUCCGAUAUAUGGUUCAGCACACACGUCUGAAUAAACAGUGAUAAUCACAUCUGUGGUGAACGACUUUUGACGAAAGGUCAAAUUAGAGCCAAUAAUAUAUCAACUGGCCUGAUGACUAAAAUGUAUACAAUUUUUUAUGAUUGACUAACUAGAUAUAGACAGUUGAUUUUAUUCACUAAUAUUAUUUAAUUCUUGGGCCUAGCCAUGUUUUUUUUGUAAAAUGCAAUGUUUUCUGUAGCUAAGCCCAAGGGCUUUAUAUAGCGUCCUUGCUAAGCGCAAUCAUUUUAAUCCAAAAUAUGAGUAAUGUUUCAGGAAUGCAUAUUUAGUCGCAGUGCUGGUGGCGUAACAGUCACCAACACAUUCCAUAGCAUCUAUAAAUAGCAGUUGAACUUGAAGCUGCAUGUCUGUCUGAUAUAGUCGAAAUAAUUUGCAAUCUUUAGGCUAAGUGAAGCUGACGGUAUACCCGAUGAUUAGAACUUGUCAGCUCCAAGAUCACGUGACUCUCGCGUGAUCUAUGACGAGAGCUAUUGACAAGUUACCUCUCUUUCUCCCCCUCCCCAAUCUUCCGCUAUACCCCAUCUUCUCUUAUAUAUUCCCACCACCACUUCUGUCUCCAAUGUUUCCCUGUAUCCUUCUGUUUUCUCUCUGCUGAUUUUGUUUGUUAUCAGUUACUUGUUUCUUUCAUGUCGACUUGUUUGUGAUUUAUUUUUGACCACCAUUUCACCAUGAUGCUUAUAAUUGUCAUGUUUACAACAAAGAUAACAACAAUGUGCCUCACCGAUUCAUAUAUGAAUAUAUAUUCUAAAUGUAGACCUGAUACCCAUGUCUCUGAUGACGGAUAUUACGUACAAUGACGUCACAUACUAAUAUCAUUGUGAUAUGAACUCAUCCCUUCAUUUAACAUAUCCUGUAUGUAAAACAAUACACGUACCACCAUCUAUGUUCACAGCCAUGGUAAGGCUAAACGUGCGUAGUGUGUUUCACUUUAGAUUGCAUUCUGCACUGUUACAAACUUACCAACACUGUGUGUUUACCUGUACCUAACGCAAUUUAGCAUUCAUGUAGGUCUAGAGCACAGCACUCCCCGUAGUUUAGAGUCACCAAUCGUGCACACUGUCUUCUCUCCCUAGUGGAGAGGGAUAGAGCACGUUCUCUUCAUGCACUCCUUAGCAACCGUUAGCACUGUACCCUUUCGUCUCAUCUCAUGUAACAACUACCACUCUACAUUCUCACUACUAUUAUCACUUCAAGCAUGACGCACUCUUCCUCUGAAAUUUCAAAAGCUACCGCCAGCGAGCUACCAGCAUGUACAAUGAAGACCAUUGUCAUUUCUAUCCCAAUCCCGAUCCAAGAAAUACAUCUUACGAAAAUUUUCCCGGCACCCUUUUCAUGAGUCCCACCAUGCUUUGCUUCUUCCGGCCACAGUGUACCAGACAUUCUCCCAGCAUUCCUUGUACUUCCGUUGUCUGUUUUCCUCGCGACUUUUCCUCAAGGUCAACUCGUGUUCUUUCCUGCGUCUUCUCUCUCUUUCCUCUUGCUAUUCACUCUGGUGUUUGGCGUAUUUCUUGAAUGAAGGGCCAAGAAGGCUCUAGUGAUUACUUUACCAGUCUUUCCGCUUCCCUUCUCAUCUCUGUGCGAAUCUCUUCAACAUCUCUGUGUCGCUGUGUCUAUUUCCCGCCAUUUCUCUCUCUCUUUCUCUCUGCCUUCAUUGUGUGCUCUACAUCUCCACCUGCAUACUUCCCUUUACUGUCUCACUCCAUACUACUUUUCUGUCUGUCCAGACCUUACCUACUGUUACACCGACUUUUCUGCAAAACCGAUGAAGAGCGCCGCUCUAGUGAUUAUACUUUGCUUUGCAGCUGUCUCUCCCUUUAAUUUCUGAUUUCUUAAACACCUAAGUCUUUCUUUUCUUUCUCGUCUUUGGAGUGGACCCUUCUAAUAUUUUCAAACCUUCUUCCUCUAUCUUAAUACAGAUUUGACUAAACCUAACUUAAUAUUUAAGCAAAGUUUGUUAUUCAUACUCUUUUAAAGAUAUCUCAGUCAUGGUAUCAAUGCUGUCGGUUUCCUCAACCCAGUCGUCUGUUCAUGUAUGCCACCUGGAGCAUAGCACAUGUACUGCAAGUCUGACGUCAUGUGUUCUAAUCUCUACGUGUCCUUAUUUGAUUGGACCACCCCUGCACUCUGCUGCUUAGUUUAUUUAACAUGGCUGUCCUCUCUCUCAACAACGUACCAUGUUCAUGUGAUAUUGAGAAUGCUCUUGCAUAUGACUUGCAUAGACCACAUUGGUUCCCAGCGUUUUGUUGCACCAAUGCAUUUCAAUUCCUAUCUUUUUCUUUCAAUAUCACAAACAUUUAAAGUUGAUUUGAUCAUGGGAAGAGCCAUGUAGUGACCUUCCAUAAGUUUUACCAUUGCCCUAAGUUCUUUAAACUAAUCCAAGAACAUGUUUAUUUCUCCUUGCAUCAUACAUGUAUGGAAUGGUUUGAAACAAAUAAACUGAAACUCCUUUCCUCUAUUUCUGAAACUACUAGUACUCCUACAAUUGUUCUAUUUUUCUUUUUCUAAUUCUGUCCUACUUAUGUCUACUCUCUUAUUCGCCUCUUGCUCCUAGCUGUUAGACUGUAUCACUUAACCUCCA